GCCGGGCGCAGUGGCACGUGCCUGCAGUCCCAGCUACUCGGGAGGCUGAGUCUGGAGGAUCACUUGAGUCCAGGAAUUCUGGGCUGUAAUGCGCUAUGCAGAUUGGGUGUCCACACUAAGUUCAGCAUCAAUAUGGUGACCUCCCAGGGGCGGGGGACCACCAGGUUGCCUAAGGAGGUGUGAACCGGCGGCCCAGGUGGGAAACGGAGCAGGUCAAAACUCCCGUGCUGAUCAGUAGUGGAAUCGCACCUGUAAAUAGCCACUGCACUCCACACUCCAGCCUGGGCAACUUAGCGAGACCCUGUCUCUU
ensembl:misc_RNA Metazoa_SRP Metazoan signal recognition particle RNA